rnacentral:rRNA from 1 species
UACGUAGGGCGCAAGCGUUGUCCGGAAUUAUUGGGCGUAAAGAGCUCGUAGGUGGCUUGUCACGUCGGGUGUGAAAGCUUGGGGCUUAACUCCAGGUCUGCAUUCGAUACGGGCUGGCUAGAGGUAGGUAGGGGAGAACGGAAUUCCUGGUGUAGCGGUGAAAUGCGCAGAUAUCAGGAGGAACACCAGCGGCGAAGGCGGCGCUCUGGGCCGGUACUGACACUGAGGAGCGAAAGCGUGGGUAGCAAACAGG